rnacentral:antisense_RNA from 1 species
GAUCUUACUCUGAAAUCUGAUGUACUAAUACAGAAGCAAACAGAAUUUCUGAAGCUGAAGCAGAGGGUUGAAGGUCUGUGGCCAACCUGGUCCUGUGAACCCCUAUCCUGCCUUCAAGAUGUGCUGAGCUCUGAAGAACACAAGCAGAAAGUGAACUAAGUGGCAACUCACGAACAUUCCUCAUCUUACUAAGGCUUCAGGAUACACAGUCAUGUCCAAGGUCAAUGGCAGAGCCAAGACUUGACCUCGUUGUUCUUGACUCUGAGUCCAGUGCCUUUCCAAUGUACCUUAGUGCUGCCUGUCAUGGUUGGAGGGGCGGUUGGCUCCAACAGACUGUAAAGAAUUGGGUUUAUUACUUGGGGAUUGUGACUUCCCUGGUGGCUCAGACGGUACAGCGUCUGCCUACAAUGCGGGAGACCCGGGUUUGAUCCCCAGGUCGGGAAGAUCUCCUGGAGAAGGAAAUGGCAACCCACUCUGGUAUUCUCGCCUGGAAAAUCCCAUGGACAGAGGAGCCUCUUAGACUGCAAAUCCAUGGGGUUGCAUGGGGAGUCGGACACGACUGAGCAACUUCACUUUCACUUUUCUUCACUGUUGUUGUAUGCUUAGGCUGCAGUAGACCCUCCAGAAAUAUUUGUUGAAUAAAGAAUUAAAUGAUAUAUAAAAAAAAAAAAAAAAAAAUAAAAAAAAAAAAAAAAC